rnacentral:misc_RNA from 1 species
CCAAACUUGGUCAUUUAGAGGAAGUAAAAGUCGUAACAAGGUCUCCGUUGGUGAACCAGCGGAGGGAUCAUUACUGAGUUAUCAAAACUCCCAACCCUUUGUGAACCUUACCACUGUUGCCUCGGCGUCAGCUGCAGCUACCCUGGAGAGCUACCCUGAAGCCACCUACCUGGUAGGUGCUACCCGGUAGCUACCCUAUAGCCCGCGUAUAGCGCGCCGGUGGACCAAUAAACUCUGUUUUUACCUGAGAAUCUCUGAAUGCUUCAACUAAAUUAGUUAAAACUUUCAACAACGGAUCUCUUGGUUCUGGCAUCGAUGAAGAACGCAGC